rnacentral:lncRNA from 10 species
GAGGCGGUACAUCCACGGGCUCCGGACCCGGCCGUGGCCAACUCUCGGGUCAUUCUUCAGCGGAGGGCCCCAACCCUGGAGCUCGGCCUCCAAGCAAGUGUGCACAGGCAGGCGUGUGCGCCCACGGAGGCCACACUUCCCCCCGGAACCAGAACUCGAUUCACAGAACAACGCUAAACAGGAAACAAGAACCACGACAGGGCCAGAGAGAGACGUGGAAGGAAAGAAAAAGCUGGACGUUUCAGGACCUUCCAGAGAUUUCCUCCUG